AUUGAACGCUGGCGGCAGGCCUACCACAUGCAAGUCGAGCGCGCGGCGGACGGGGAAGUAAUGUAUUGGGACGGCCCGUUGGGGGGGGAUACCUACUGGAACCGUUAGCUAAUACCGCAUACUAUCGGAUAACCCAUAUGGGAUUAGCUAGUAGGUGAGGUACUGGCUCACCUAGUCGACGAUCCCUAUCUGGUCUGAGAGGAUGAUCAGCAACACUGGGACUGAGACACGGCCCAGACUCCUACGGAGGCAGCAGUGGGGAAUAUUGCACAAUGGGCGCAAGCCUGAUGCAGCCAUGCCGCGUGUAUGAAGAAGGCCCUAGGGUUGUAAAGUACUUUCAGUCGGGAGGCGUGACCGACAGAAGAAGCACCGGCUAACUCCGUGCCAGCCGCCGCGGUAAUUC
rnacentral:rRNA from 1 species